CUUCCCCGUCCACCAGGUGUCACCGGUUGACUGAGCCCCUGGAGAGAUGCGGUGUCGACCCCGUAGACACACCUGUGUCUAAUCAGGAGCUGGCUGCUGUGGCGUGUUUAUGGAGCGGCUGGCCAACACUUCAGUUGCUGAGUGUUUGCAUACUAUAGUAAACGUUUCUCCUCGUCGGCCUAGAACUAACCUCUGAGCAUUUCUUUGUUGUGCUACUUCCUCUGAGUAACUCCUCAUUAUGUUCUCUUAGUCAAGUGUUCCCCGUUGUCUGCCAAGAUCUCCAGCGGACGCUGUUGCCUCCUGGAUCUCACCUUCACGACACCAUAGAUUUGUUAAACACUGGGAGAAGUUAUUGAUGUCAUUUGGAGUCUAAAGAACCACAUAAGAUAAGUAUUACCAGGCCUUUAACUUGACAUUUAAAUUUCAUUUGCAUCAAUACUGUAACAAUGUUGCUAUCUGGGCUUUCCAGUUGUGAUGCUGCACAUUGUCAAAUCAUUUACAGUCAUUCUCUGCUAGAAAUUAUGCAUGCUACGAAAAGGCAAUAUUGGAUAAUUAAUAACUUAAAAUGUUCAUACACAAAUUUAAGACAAAUAUGUAUCACUUUACAAGGGUGUGAUUUUUUUUUGUCAGUUAUUAUCUUGAUUAUCUUAGUUUGACAUUUGUAUGUUCUCGAUAAAGAAACAUAAAAGACAAACCCAUGUCCAGAUUAUCUCUUAUUCCCUGUGACGUCUCUUUGAUGCAGCUGACUCUACAUUAGCUCUUCUAAGUGGCGAUUAUUUCAAGUCUUUGAGCAAAGCCAUGACCAUGGUUCCUGCACACGCCGUUAACCAAGGAGAACACAGGAAAGACCUCCGGACCUCUGGCUCUGGUACCGCUCUGCU